GGCGACAUGGCCAAGUGGCUAAGGCUGGAGCCUGCAAAGCUCCCAUCCUCGGUUCGAAUCCGAGUGUCGCCUCCA
rnacentral:tRNA from 1 species